AUACGGAGGAUGCAAGCGUUAUCCGGAUUUAUUGGGUUUAAAGGGUGCGUAGGCGGUUUGCUAAGCGGGAGGUGAAAUGCCGGCGCUCAACGUCGGAAGUGCCUCCCGAACUGGUGGACUUGAAUGACUCUGCCGUGGGAGGAAUGUGUAGUGUAGCGGUGAAAUGCUUAGAGAUUACACAGAACACCGAUUGCGAAGGCAUCUCACGAAGGGUUGAUUGACGCUGAGGCACGAAGGCGUGGGGAUCAAACAGGAUUAGAUACCCUGGUAGUCCACGCAGUAAACGAUGAUGGCUAACCGCUGGGCUUAUCAGUUCAGUGGCCAAGCGAAAGCGAUAAGCCAUCCACCUGGGGAGUACGACCGCAAGGUUGAAACUCAAAGGAAUUGGCGGGG
rnacentral:rRNA from 1 species